rnacentral:misc_RNA from 1 species
AAAGUCGUAACAAGGUUUCCGUAGGUGAACCUGCGGAAGGAUCAUUACAAAUCCAUCACGUCUCUCUUUGAGACCACGUUGAAAUGUUCCCCAGCCAGCAUCAGCAGUGACAACACUGCUCCUGCGGCUGGGCUGUUAAACUAGUGUUACCUUGUUGCUCAAUUGUACCGAGAGUAUGGUUUCAUGCUCGAUAACCAAGUACAACUUAUAACAAUGGAUCUCUAGGCUCUU